rnacentral:rRNA from 1 species
AUAAGGGCGCACGGUGGAUGCCUUGGCACUAGGAGCCGAUGAAGGACGGGACUAACACCGAUAUGCUUUGGGGAGCUGUAAGUAAGCUAUGAUCCAGAGAUUUCCGAAUGGGGGAACCCAAUAUCUUUUAUAGGAUAUUACUUUUCAGUGAAUACAUAGCUGAUUAGAGGUAGACGCAGAGAACUGAAACAUCUUAGUACCUGCAGGAAGAGAAAGAAAAUUCGAUUCCCUGAGUAGCGGCGAGCGAAACGGGAAGAGCCCAAACCAACAAGCUUGCUUGUUGGGGUUGUAGGACUCCAAUAUGGUAGUCUGUUAGUAUAGUUGAAGGAUUUGGAAAAUUCCGCUAAAGAGGGUGAAAGCCCCGUAGACGAAAUGCUGACAACACCUAGGAGGAUCCUGAGUACGGCGGAACACGAGAAAUUCCGUCGGAAUCCGCGGGGACCAUCCCGCAAGGCUAAAUACUCCCUAGUGACCGAUAGUGAACCAGUACCGUGAGGGAAAGGUGAAAAGCACCCCGGAAGGGGAGUGAAAUAGAUCCUGAAACCGUGUGCCUACAACAAGUCAAAGCUCGUUAAUGAGUGAUGGCGUGCCUUUUGUAGAAUGAACCGGCGAGUUA